UAGCUUCAAUGUUACUAUUAUUGCAAAUAGUACUACUAAUGAUUGCAAUGAUAGUUGUUGUACUAAUAUCACAAUUUUUAUACAACUGGUAUUGAACACAUCAGACCCACAGUAUGCAAAUCUAAGCUAUAAUAUAUCAUAUGACUCUAUCACUGUUAAUGAAGAAUCAAUGGUAACAAGUGACGGAGAAUGGAACAAGAAUAUACAGUUACCUUGUAAUAGAACACACUACUUUGAUUCCAGACAAGCUAAAAAUCAAUGUAGCUCUAGCCCAAUGCCGGAAAAUUCUGGAACAUUAAGUGCAGGAGAUAUUGCAGUAAUUAUAUUAGCUGUAAUACUAGCACCAAGUUUGAUAGCAAAUAUAGGAUGCUUCAUUUGCUGGCUUUAUAAAGUAUUAAAUUUACACCAAGAAGAUGAAGGCCGCCAAGAAUAA